GCCCGGUUAGCUCAGUUGGUAGAGCAUCAGACUUUUAAUCUGAGGGCCAUGGGUUCGAGUCGCAUAUCGGGCU
rnacentral:tRNA from 1 species